UACGGGGGGGGGCAAGCGUUGUUCGGAAUUACUGGGCGUAAAGGGCUCGUAGGCGGCCAACUAAGUCAGACGUGAAAUCCCUCGGCUUAACCGGGGAACUGCGUCUGAUACUGGAUGGCUUGAGGUUGGGAGAGGGAUGCGGAAUUCCAGGUGUAGCGGUGAAAUGCGUAGAUAUCUGGAGGAACACCGGUGGCGAAGGCGGCAUCCUGGACCAAUUCUGACGCUGAGGAGCGAAAGCCAGGGGAGCAAAACGGG
rnacentral:rRNA from 1 species